rnacentral:lncRNA from 1 species
UAUAUGAUAAAAUUUUUAAGUUAACUGUGUAUAAAAUAUUUAAAGAAAAAAAAUAUAAAUUGAGGGAUCUCAAUCAAAUAAAAAAAAGUUGAGAAUUUUAUUCGAAAAGAGUCUAUAGUUGACGGGCAAUGUAAAAAAAAAAAAACUUCAAAUAUCAUCCAUGUGGUUUCACAUUUUUCACUUUAGUAUUCUAUAAUUUAAAUUGGAUCAAUUUAGUGCCCAGUAAUUUUAUUUUUAUUUUUUUAUUAUUGAUUUUACUAUUUUUUUCAAUAAAUUCGUGAUAAAGUUAAAAUUAAAGAAUACUAAAGUGAAUAUUCGAUAAAGUUAGGUGAGAUAUCUAAAGUUUUUGUAUAUAAUUUAACGAUACAUCAACAAAAAAGCUGGCGAAAAGAUACAAAUAAAAUUACAAAAUAUUAACUUAAUACACUUUAAAUUAUAAAAUAUUAAAAUAAAAAAAUACAAGAUUACCCAUGUAAAAAAAAAAAAAAAAAAAAAAAAUUGAGUGAAUUUAACAUAUUAGUACCUCUAGAAAAACUUCAAUCAUUAUUACCAUUUUUUGGACCAUAGACUUGUGUGUGCAUUAAUGCACACCAUGUGGGCGUUUAGCAAUACGUGAGAAUAUCUUGUAUAUAAAAUUUUAAAAAAAUUUCAAAUAUCACUUCUAUAAUUUUACACUUUUUUAUUUUAGUAUUAUAUAAUUUAAAGUGUAUCAUUUUUAUACUCUGUGAUUUUAUUUUAUUUUUUUUGUUAUUCGCUCUAUUAAUUUUUUUUGUUAAAUUAGUGAUAAAGUGAAAACUAAAAUGUACUAAAAUAAAUAUUCAAUAAAUUAUAUGUAGGUAUUUGAAGAUUUUUUAUAUAAUUUAACGAAAAGUUAACGGAGAGAUCGACAAAAAGAGAAAAAUAAAACCACAAGGUAAUAAAAUUGAAACACUUCAAAUUACAGGGUACUAAAGUGAGAAAGUACGAAACUAUAGAAGUGGUAUUUGAAGUUUAUCCUAAAAUUUAUAGGUUAUGCUCGACCAAAGAGAUCCAAAUUUGAAUUUUUUAAACUGAAAAAAUAUUAUAAUUAUAAAAAUAAUUUUUUUAAAAAUUUAUUUACAAAAUUAGACUUAUACGAUGAAUAAAUUAACGCUUUUUAAAUGCGAAAAGUUAGACACCGUUUUUUUUAUGGAUUAAAUUAAUUUUUAAAAUGUAAUAUUAUACAUCUUUUAAAAUUUGAAUGUAAAAAAUAUAUAAAUUAAAAUAAAAUAUUAGCACUUUUAUCAACCUAUUUUUAUAAAAUAAAAUAUUUAAAUAUUUAAAAUUUUAUAUUUUAAAAAAUUUAUAGGCUUAGUAAUCCAAAACCUCCUCCACAUUUAAUUGUCACACUAGUAAAAUACCCGCGCGAUACUGCGGAUAUAAAAAUAUUUUUAUAAUAAAGUUUAAUUUUUUUAUUUUUUUAUAUAAUUUUAUGUCUAAUUAUUAAUUAAAUAAAGAUAUAUAAAAAUAAUUUAAUAGUUAAUUUUAUUUAAAUAAAAAUUAUUUAAACAACAACUUAUUUUAUAAAGAUUUAUGUGAAAAAGAUUCGAGAUAAAUAAUAAUUUAAGAAAUUAAUAAAUAGAAGGGAAAUAAAAUAAUAGAAGAAUUUGUUUAAUAAAUUUAAUUAUAUAUAUAAACACACACGUACUAUAUUUCUAAAAUUUUACUCGUCAAAUUUAAAUUAUGUAUUUUUUUAUACAUUGAUCAUAUUAGAUUUUAUUAUGCGAUUUAUUACGUGUAUUAUUAAUAAUAUUAAUUAUUUAUAUUAGAUACAAUUAAUUAUUAAUAAAAUUAAUUAAUUAAUUUUAUAGAGUUUAGGAAUUUCAAAUUUUAAAUUUUAAUUUUGAAAAUUUUAAAUUUUAUACUAUAAAAUUUUAAAAUCAUAUAUAUAUAUAUAUAUAUUUAUUUAUUUAUUUAUUUAUUUAUUUAUAUAUUAGGAGAGAGUAGGGGAGGGUUGGGGGGACACGUGUCACCCCAUGGUCCCCUCAAAUUCUUCUUUAAUGUAGUAGUAAGUAUAGAUAUAGAUAUAGAUUUAAUUGUGUAAGACAAAAU